rnacentral:tRNA from 1 species
GGUUCCGUGGUGUAGGGGUUAACAUGCCUGCCUGUCACGCAGGAGAUCGCGGGUUCAAAUCCCGGCGGGACCGCCA